rnacentral:rRNA from 1 species
GACGAACGCUGGCGGCGUGCCUAAUACAUGCAAGUAGAACGCUGAAGAGAGGAGCUUGCUCUUCUUGGAUGAGUUGCGAACGGGUGAGUAACGCGUAGGUAACCUGCCUGGUAGCGGGGGAUAACUAUUGGAAACGAUAGCUAAUACCGCAUAAAAUGGAUUAUCGCAUGAUAAUCCAUUGAAAGGUGCAAAUGCAUCACUACCAGAUGGACCUGCGUUGUAUUAGCUAGUUGGUGGGGUAACGGCUCACCAAGGCGACGAUACAUAGCCGACCUGAGAGGGUGAUCGGCCACACUGGGACUGAGACACGGCCCAGACUCCUACGGGAGGCAGCAGUAGGGAAUCUUCGGCAAUGGACGGAAGUCUGACCGAGCAAAGCCGCGUGAGUGAAGAAGGUUUUCGGAUCGUAAAGCUCUGUUGUAAGAGAAGAACGAGUGUGAGAGUGGAAAGUUCACACUGUGACGGUAUCUUACCAGAAAGGGACGGCUAACUACGUG